rnacentral:rRNA from 1 species
UACCGGAUAGCAACAAUGUCUGCAUGGCUAUUGCUUAAAAGGCGGCGAAAGCUGUCGCUAAAGGAUGGACCCGCGGUGCAUUAGCUAGUUGGUAAGGUAAUGGCUUACCAAGGCGACGAUGCAUAGCCGAGUUGAGAGACUGAUCGGCCACAUUGGGACUGAGACACGGCCCAAACUCCUACGGGAGGCAGCAGUAGGGAAUCUUCCACAAUGGGCGAAAGCCUGAUGGAGCAACGCCGCGUGAGUGAAGAAGGUUUUCGGAUCGUAAAGCUCUGUUGUUGGUGAAGAAGGAUAGAGGUAGUAACUGGCCCCUAUUUGACGGUAAUCAACCAGAAAGUCACGGCUAACUACGUGCCAGCAGCCGCGGUAAUACGUAGGUGGCAAGCGUUGUCCGGAUUUAUUGGGCGUAAAGCGAGCGCAGGCGGAAAGAUAAGUCUGAUGUGAAAGCCCCCGGCUUAACCGAGGAAUUGCAUCGGAAACUGUGUUUCUUGAGUGCAGAAGAGGAGAGUGGAACUCCAUGUGUAGCGGUGGAAUGCGUAGAUAUAUGGAAGAACACCAGUGGCGAAGGCGGCUCUCUGGUCUGUAACUGACGCUGAGGCUCGAAAGCAUGGGUAGCGAACAGGAUUAGAUACCCUGGUAGUCCAUGC